rnacentral:rRNA from 1 species
AUUGAACGCUGGCGGCAGGCCUAACACAUGCAAGUCGAGCGAGCGGCGGACGGGUGAGUAAUGUCUGGGAAACUGCCUGAUGGAGGGGGAUAACUACUGGAAACGGUAGCUAAUACCGCAUACCAUCAGAUGUGCCCAUAUGGGAUUAGCUAGUAGGUGAGGUAACGGCUCACCUAGGCGACGAUCCCUAGCUGGUCUGAGAGGAUGACCAGCCACACGGGAACUGAGACGCGGUCCAGACUCCUACGGGAGGCAGCAGUGGGGAAUAUUGCACAAUGGGCGCAAGGCUGAUGCAGCCAUGCCGCGUGUGUGAAGAAGGCCUUAGGGUUGUAAAGCACUUUCAGUGGGGAGGCGUUACCCGCAGAAGAAGCACCGGCUAACUCCGUGCCAGCGGCCGCGGUAAUAC